rnacentral:rRNA from 1 species
CCUACGGGCGGCUGCAGUGGGGAAUAUUGGACAAUGGGCGAAAGCCUGAUCCAGCCAUGCCGCGUGUGUGAAGAAGGCCUUCGGGUUGUAAAGCACUUUCAGUGGGGAAGAAAGCCUUGGGGCUAAUACCCUCGAGGAAGGACAUCACCCACAGAAGAAGCACCGGCUAACUCCGUGCCAGCAGCCGCGGUAAUACGGAGGGUGCGAGCGUUAAUCGGAAUUACUGGGCGUAAAGCGCGCGUAGGCGGUCUGAUAAGCCGGUUGUGAAAGCCCCGGGCUCAACCUGGGAACGGCAUCCGGAACUGUCAGGCUAGAGUGCAGGAGAGGAAGGUAGAAUUCCCGGUGUAGCAGUGAAAUGCGUAGAGAUCGGGAGGAAUACCAGUGGCGAAGGCGGCCUUCUGGACUGACACUGACGCUGAGGUGCGAAAGCGUGGGUAGCAAACAGGAUUAGAUACCCCAGUAGUC